AACUGCAGACUAAAUAUUGUUGGCUCUGUGUCAAAUUGCUUGUUUUGUUCCUAGAUUCUUCAGUGCUGAUGGCCUGCUGCAUCCAGCAGAGUCGGAGUGAACCUACUGUAAGACAACAUCUCCAAGAUGCUAUUGACCACAAGACUAGUACAGGUUAUUAGAAACUGCACAGCACAGGACUUGCAGGACUUGUGAGGACUUCAGAUGAUACCAGUACUCAAAAGACCUUAGAUGAUGGCAACUAUAGAUGGACAUACAAACUACCGCCACUGCAAAAAAGAUUCUAAUUUGAAAGAAGUUUAUAAUACAUGUCGCUACUCCCAAUUCAGAAGACUGAAUCAGCCUGUGUAUCUGAAUGUUUCUCAUACUCACUCCUCUCUGCUGCAUCUGAAUUUGGGAUUUUCCUUAGCUGUCAGUUAUAAACAUCAAAAUUAAAAGAAAUAAACAUUUGAAAUGUAUCAGUCUGUGUGUA